rnacentral:lncRNA from 1 species
AUAUCUCGCGAUAGCACUGUUUAAAAUGGCGGCUUCAAGGCGUUUCACGGGUGUCCCGGACAGGCGUGGAGGUGGGGCGCAGGCGAGGAUGAAGCUUGAGUUGGCCAGGAGUCGGAAAACGAUUGCAGGCGGGACCGCGUCCGUCGGGGCUGAGGAAACUUAGCGUGGCAGACCCUAAACUGGGAUAACUUUAGGGAUAUGGCCUUCUUUUCCCAGUUGCCUCAAACUUAGAGCAGCGUCGUCUUUAGCCGAAGAUUCAUUUUCCCAGCAUUUUCCUUCUCCAGGCGGAGUAGUUGGAGACAGAGGGCAAGCCAGAAACUGACCUUCCCAUCUCCUCAUUCCCUUCCAUCAAGAACUUUUCAUCGUUCUUUCCCCACCCUGGUUUGUAAAUGGUAUUUGGCUUCAUAAAAACGUUUGUCCACAGGUGCCCUGCUCCAUCAGUUCGCUCCAGCAAUAUAGGAAGUUACCAAAAAAAAAAUUUUUUUUUAUUGACCUUGGAUGCAGAAAGGAACCGCGUUGGUGUGUGAUUUGAAUUUUGGACUUCUUGUUUCCUGCCUUGUGGCCACGUCCCCCUUACUUGGUGACUCUCAGCACUUAGUUGUGGGGCUUUUUCUCUCUGCUCUCAGACAACUAUAAAAGCAGACUAAUUGAACAGCAUCUAGAACAGAAGGUGGAUGUAAAGAACAUUGGUCGGCCGGGCGCUGUGGCUCACGCCUGUAAUCCCAGCACUUGAGAGGCCGAGGCGGGCAGAUCACGAGGUCAGGAGAUCGAGACCAUCCUGACCAACAUUGUGAAACCCCGUCUCUACUAAAAAUACAAAAAUUAGCUGGGCGUGGUGGCGUGUGCCUGUAAUCCCAGCUACUCGGGAGGCUGAGGCAGGAGAAUUGCUUGAACCAGGGAGUUGGAGGCUGCAGUGAGCCAAGAUCACACCACUGCACUCCAGCCUGGCGACAGAGCGAGACUUCGUCUCAAAAAAGAAAAAAAAAAAAUGAGCCGGGCAUAGUGGCACGCGUCUGUAGUCCCAGCAACUCGGGAGGAUAAAGUGGGAGAAUCCCUUGAGCUGGGAGGUGGAGGUUGCAGUGAGCUAUGAUCACACCACUGCACUCCAUCAAACAGAGCCAGACUCUGCCUCAAGAAAGAGUGUGAGAGAGAUCAAAAUAUCAUUUCAACAUAUAACCAAUGUUAUUAACAAGAUAACUUACAUUCUUUCUUUCGUACUAAGUUUUCAAAAUUUGGUGUUUAUACUUGGAGCACAUCUCAUUAAGGACUGGGAGCAUUUAAAGAGCUCAAGAGCCACAUGCAACUAGUGACGAGAGUAUCGGACAGCGCAGUCCUAGACUCUAGAGUAAUGAAUGAGCUCUCUAGAUGUCCGGGGGGUGGUAUCAUGGGUGUGUGGUGUAUGUAAAAGAAACUCUUGAAAUUGCUAACUCAAAUGGCUGCAGAGGCUAGGCAAGUAACAAUAAAAGAUGACCUGACAUAGGGACUAGGACCCACUGGAGACUACAAACUCCUAUCUAAAAGAGCCACUUUUCCUGAGUUUUAAAACACAGUGAUGCCAAACAAGAUGUCUGUGAGUAGGACACACAGCUAACUCUGCGGCCAAUAUACUGCCUCAGUGAACCGUGGUAUUCAAAUGUAUGAAACACAAGGAUUUUUUGUUGUUUUUUAUUUUUUUUGAGACAGGGUCUCUCUAGUCAUCCAUGAUCUCGGCUCACUACAACUUCCACCUCUCCCACUCAAGCGAUCCUCCCACCUCACCUCCCAAGUAGCAGGGACUGCAGACACCUACCACUACACCUGGCUAAUUCUUGUAGAAAGGGUAUUUUAACAGAAGAAUAGUAACUAGGCAAAGGGAUGGCAAACCUUGAAAACCUGACCACAUUUCUUUCUGGGUCCUGUACAAGUGUGUGCACUUUAAGCCAUCAUUGCAAUUUAGGAUUAUAAUUUGACUUCUAAGUAGAGUUUCCUACUGAGGAGAUAAUUUUACAGCCAACCUGGGCUCCCUAUAAAUUAAUAAGCUGAUAUCAUGAUUUUUAUUAUAGUUAAAAUUUUAGACAUUCUGAGCUUGAAAAAAUUAUUUCCAGGUUUUCAAAGCUGUUCACUAGCAGACUCCAGACAUUUUUUUCUCCAAAUUUAAGAGAAGGCAUAUACAUAUAUAUAUAUAUAUAUAUACACACACACACACACAUAUAUAUAUACACACAUAUAUAUAUUUUUUUGUUUUGUUUUGUUUUUUUUCUGUUUUUUGUUUUUUGUUUUUUUGAGACAAGGUCUCACUCACACCCAGGCUGGAGUUCGGUGGCAUGAUCUCGGCUCAAUACAACCUCCACCUCUCAGUUUCAAGUGAUUCUUUUGCCUCAGCCUCCAAAGUAGCUGGGAUUACAGUCACGUGCCACUGUGCCCGACUAAUUUUUUUGCAUUUUUAGUAGAGACACGGUUUCGACAUGUUGGCCAGGCUGGUCUCGAAUUUCUGGCUUCAAGUGACCCGCCCACGUUGGCCUUCCAAAGUGCUGGGAUUAGGAGUGUGAGCCAGCACACCUGGCCUACAAGAAGGCAUUUAAUUAUUUUAUGGUUGACUGUGAAAGCUCUUUGUCACAGGAAAGUUAUUUGUCUUUGUACUGCUUUUGCCUGAUACAGUACCUGGUAUACAGAAGGCACAUAAUAAACAUUUGUUAAAGGAAUAUAGUCCUUAAAACUUUUGAGGGGCUCACAGACUUAAAACCCGAGAAUCUGAUGAAGGCUAAGGCUUAUUCAGAUCUUAACUGUGCCCUAUCCAUAUUCCCUCAAACUACCCCAGAGUUCACCUCAACUUUGGUAGACAGAUCUUGUACAGGCCCAGAACUUCUUACCUCAAACACCUGAGUAACUCUAUCUGGAAGUGCUAGCAGAGUUAACAUUAUGAGAGACAAUCUACAAUCAAUGAGAGAUGGGAUUUGGUAGCUAAAUAUUCCAGUUCCUCAUCCCCUUAGUGGAGCCAUUCUGAAGCAUAUUCUACUGUAAUGUUUCUCAAAAUUUUCUAGCAUAUGAUAAUCACCUGGAGAGAUGAAUAUGACACAGAUUCCAGCCAGGCUCAGUGGCUUACACCUGUAAUCGCAGCACUUUGGAAGGUUGAGGCGGAAGGAUCACUUGAGCCCAGGAGUUCGAGACCAGCCUGGGCAAUAUGGUGAGACUUUGUGAGCAUGGUGGCACACAUCUGUGGUCCCAGCUACCUCAGAGGCUGAGGUGGGAGGAUCACUUGAGCUUGGGAGGUUGAGGCUACAGUGAGCCAAGAUUGCGUCACUGUGCAUCAGCCUGAGUGACAGAGGAAGAGUCUGUCUCCAAAAAAAAAAAGAAAAACGAUAGAGAUUCUUGGGCCCAAGAGUUUGCAUUCUAACCAAGCUCCUAGGAAUACUGAUGCUGCUGCCAAUCCAUGGACCACAUGGUGAUGGGUGCCUGCAAUCCCAGCUACUCGGGAGGCUGGAGCAGGAGAAUCGCUUGAACCCAGGAGGCAGAGACUGCAGUAAGCCGAGACGCGCCACUGCACUCCAGCCUGGGUGACAGAGCGAGACUCCAUUUAAAAAAAAAAAAAAAAGGAAAAGGUACAAAGUUUUGUAUACACGUUUAAAGGAGGUAGGCCAGGCACGGUGGCUCCGCCUGUAAUCCUAGCACUUUGAGAGGCCGAGGCAGGCAGAUUGCUUGAGCUCAGGAGUUCAGGACCAGCCUGGGCAACAUGGCAAAACCCCAUCUCUACAAAAAAAUACAGAAAAUUAGCCAGGCGUGGUGGCGAGCUCCUGUAGUGCCACCUACUUGGGGGUCUGAAGUGGGAGGAUCACUUGCACCUGAGAGGUGGAGACCGCAGUGAGCUAAGAUUGCACCACUUCACUGCACUCCAGUCUGGGCGACAGAGUGAGACCCUAUCUCAAAAAAAAAAAAAAAUGCUUAGAGGGGGUAUGAAUUCUCUGGAAUUUGCUCAUUAGAUUAUAAGUGAAGAUGACCAGGGUAAAUGCCAUUUGACCCAAGGUGCACUAAAAUAUGAUCCAUCUAAUGCAGAUUCUGGCAAACUUAAUCUAACCAUUAGCAGCUCAUGGAGUUGACUGAAUUCAGCCAGCUCUCCUUAGAAGUUAUUUUCUCAGAUCUUAUUGCCAUCUUUUCAUUCUUUCUGAUCUGCAUUAGUCUUACUUUGUGGAACAUGGCAGUAGGCCUGGGACUCUUAGAGAGUCCCCAUCCUUGUAAUGAGCAAAAAGAAUAUUGUUGCGCAUUCCUAUCGGGCUCUUAAGAUUUCUUCCCAACCAUACUGCUUUCUAGGUACCACUGUAGUGCCCUUGUAACCCUUAGAUCUUUUCUUGCUGUGUUCAACACAGAGCCUGGCAUACUAUAACUGUAGCUGGUUUCUCCCAUUUCCUUCUGGAUUCCACAUGGCCCCCUAUUCUAUUUCAUCCUUUUGGGAAUGUGUAAUCUUUGACACUUAUAUUCCUAAACCCACUUUGGUAUAAUCUGGAAACUUUAUGGCAUGCUCUAGUCUGUGACAAUCAGGAUAACCCUGAUUAUACCAGCUUCUAAUCAACUACAUAAAGCGGGUGAACACCAGGGUCACCAACACCCAUUUCCCAACUGCGGUGCACAGCAGCUUUUUAGCUUUGCCAACAUUUGGGCCGGCACAUGUGUUUGUGCGUGAUUAUUUGUCUCAUGUACUAUUGAAUAAACGUCUUUGUAAGUAAC